rnacentral:rRNA from 1 species
UACGGAGGAUCCAAGCGUUAUCCGGAAUCAUUGGGUUUAAAGGGUCCGUAGGCGGUCUUAUAAGUCAGUGGUGAAAUCUUCUAGCUCAACUAGGAAACUGCCAUUGAUACUGUAGGACUUGAAUGUUUGUGAAGUAACUAGAAUAUGUAGUGUAGCGGUGAAAUGCUUAGAUAUUACAUGGAAUACCAAUUGCGAAGGCAGGUUACUAACAGAUGAUUGACGCUGAUGGACGAAAGCGUGGGGAGCGAAC